CAAACAUGUAACCACUAUAAAAGGUUUCACGCGGCGGGUUGUUAUUGAUUAGCUGUGUCAUCACAUCAGCUCCACUGUUGCCAAACUUUGUCGCAUGCAUAAUGUAUGAUGGAGGCUUGGAUGAGGACAUGUUGGUUCUGUUCUGCACUUAGAGGUUUACCCUCCUAGAGAAAAGGCUGUGCCCACUCGCUUGGUUUAUUAACACUCCAAUAAUAUAAAUAAAUUCUUAAUCCCCCCCCACCCCCACAAAUAAGCAAGCGAGAAAACAAAGUAAAAAGGAAUGAG